CGAGAAAUACUAGAUAGAAAUUAGAAUUAUGCGAGAUGUGCCUGUGUUGAAGAAAUCUCAAUAUAUUAGUAUGUGCAGCAAUAUAUAGAUGAUGAAGAACAUUGGUAUAUAUUUAGUCGGUAGAGACUAGAGCUACUAUACCUCCUAUUUUACCCCAGGCAUUAAGUUUGACAUAAUAAGAGUAAUGAGCCUAUGCCAUUAUUCAACAUCGCCGCCUUUCACUCUAACACUAAGUCCCGA
rnacentral:lncRNA from 1 species